rnacentral:lncRNA from 1 species
UUUUUUUAUUUAUUUAAUAUAAUUUAUCUUUUUUAAAAAAAAAUUUCUGAAAAUACUAUCACCCAUUUUGGUCCCACUAACUGACAUUUAAAUAUUUUGAAUUUUGUGCCUAAUUUUUUAAAUUUAUUUUAUUUGAGCCGGUUACUAAUCCUUUAACUUCAAAAUUUAUACGCACCAUUUAAUUUCACAGAUUUAGUUAAUAUAUUUUAUGCAAUUCACAUAACUAUAAAUUUAUUAAAAUAUUAAAAUUGGGAUGCAAAAAGCCAUCAAUUAUUUAAAUCAAACAAAAUUGAAGUAUUGAAUACUAAAAUCGAAGUUUUGAAAGUUCGGU